rfam:Aspergillus tubingensis CBS 134.48 unplaced genomic scaffold ASPTTscaffold_5, whole genome shotgun sequence.
GACCGAUUGGCCUAGUGGUUUUAGGGCGUCUGUCUUACAUAAUUGAAGCUCACAGAAGGUCCCCGGUUCGAUCCCGGGAUCGGUCA